rnacentral:rRNA from 1 species
CCUACGGGAGGCAGCAGUGAGGAAUAUUGGUCAAUGGCCGAGAGGCUGAACCAGCCAAGUAGCGUGAGGGAAGACAGCCCUAUGGGUUUUAAACUUCUUUUAUCAGGGAGCAAAGCGCGUCACGUGUGAGGCAUUGAGAGUACCUGAUGAAUAAGCAUCGGCUAAUUCCGUGCCAGCAGCCGCGGUAAUACGGAGGAUGCGAGCGUUAUCCGGAUUUAUUGGGUUUAAAGGGUGCGGAGGCGGAUGAGUAAGUCAGCGGUAAAAUUGUGGGGCUCAACCCCGUAGUGCCGUUGAAACUGUGGCACUUGAGUGUGCGAGAGGUACAUGGAAUGCGUGGUGUAGCGGUGAAAUGCAUAGAUAGCACGAAGAACUCCGAUGGCGAAGGCAGUAUACCGGCGCGAAACUGACGCUGAGGCACGAAAGCGUGGGUAUCGAACAGGAUUAGAUACCCUAGUAGUC